rnacentral:rRNA from 1 species
CUACGGGCUGCAGCAGUGAGGAAUAUUGCACAAUGGGGGAAACCCUGAUGCAGCAACGCCGCGUGGAGGAUGACGCAUUUCGGUGUGUAAACUCCUUUUAUCAGAGAAGAAAAUGACGGUAUCUGAUGAAUAAGCUCCGGCUAACUCCGUGCCAGCAGCCGCGGUAAUACGGAGGGAGCAAGCGUUAUUCGGAAUCACUGGGCGUAAAGGACGCGUAGGCGGGUUUUUAAGUCAGGUGUGAAAUCCUAUGGCUCAACCAUAGAACUGCACUUGAAACCGGGGACCUAGAGUAUGGAAGGGGCAGGUGGAAUUAGUGGUGUAGGGGUAAAAUCCGUAGAUAUCACUAGGAAUACCGAAAGCGAAGGCGACCUGCUGGGACAUUACUGACGCUGAGGCGUGAAAGCGUGGGGAGCAAACAGGAUUAGAUACCCCUGUAGUC